AUACGGAGGAUCCGAGCGUUAUCCGGAUUUAUUGGGUUCAAAGGGAGCGUAGGUGGAUUGUUAAGUCAGUUGUGAAAGUUUGCGGCUCAACCGUAAAAUUGCAGUUGAAACUGGCAGUCUUGAGUACAGUAGAGGUGGGCGGAAUUCGUGGUGUAGCGGUGAAAUGCUUAGAUAUCACGAAGAACUCCGAUUGCGAAGGCAGCUCACUAGACUGUUACUGACACUGAUGCUCGAAAGUGUGGGUAUCAAACAGGAUUAGAUACCCUGGUAGUCCACACAGUAAACGAUGAAUACUCGCUGUUUGCGAUAUACAGUAAGCGGCCAAGCGAAAGCAUUAAGUAUUCCACCUGGGGAGUACGCCGGCAACGGUGAAACUCAAAGGAAUUGACGGGG
rnacentral:rRNA from 1 species